UCUGUGUCCAUGGAUCAUAUUAACUCAGGCUCUUCCUGUUAUAUCAUUGUGGUAGGAGGGUCUCUGUGCUAUGUAGGAGAGGAGAAUAGAAAAAGGUAGGAGGGAAGAGGGUAUUUGAUUUAUAUGUGACUUAGAGGCUUGGAAGGACUAGGGGCUUCAGUAAUGUACAGGCUGAUCGACAGCUGGUGUGUGUGUGUGUGAAAUAAAUGUUAUGGCCCUCCCAUAUGUAUCAUGUUACUUUCUUUUACCAAGAGGAACUGAAAGCAGUUAUUCAGGUGAGCUCUCUUGUUAGAGCCAUCCUGUGAAGGCCCAAGACCCAUUCUAAUGCCCUAUUUUCACCUCCAGUAAAGAUCAACUCCUUAGCCUGGCCCAGUCCAUGUGUCUAUGUCCUUAUGUGGCAGGACUGAGGAGAAGGAAGAGAAAGAUGAAUGAGGCAGGAAGAGAAAGAUGAAUGAGGCAGGACUGCAUUUUUCUGAUAAGGAACUGCUGCCUUCUGCCUUCAAGCAGUGCCACCUGUAACAGCAAUGGCAUUCUUAAAGAAAGACUGACACAACUGGUCACGUGGCAUCUCUGCAUCAUUCUUAUGUUUUUUUAGCUCACCAUUGUAGGUGUAGUUAGGCCUUAGAAAUAUGAAUCUCUUUUGCAAUAAGUGCCUUGAAAGGAAGUUGCCAAGAUACAGUGAAUGGAGUCCACAAAUCCAGUACUGAUCUGAGAAGGCUGAUCUUCCUGUGCUUGGAGUCCUGUUUCAUAGAGAUGACCACACAUGAAACUAGGUUAUGCUCAGCAAAUAUGUCUGAAUAUAUUGAGGUAAAUUUACUUGACAUAUCAGACUUUGACAACAUAAAGAAAUUUAUCAUUUGCCUACAUAUUAUGAAUCCUUAACUUGUAUACAGGUUUACAGCUGAAUAUUUCAGAGUGCCAGGCAUAAAACAUAAGUUCAGUGCCUUGAGUGUGUCUGAGCAAGCAACAGGCUUAGGAGUGGCUAACGUAGACCUGUGCUGAUCAGGCAUAUCCAUAAACUUGGAUCUUAGUGUGUCUUUCUUACAGCCUUCAGCUAAGUGCAGGAGCCACUCUAAGGGUGUAUCAUUAAAGACAAGCAUUAUCGCAAUUACAAGCUGAAGAUAACAAAAGGCUUUUUAUAUUUUCUUUAUUUCUGUCUAGCUGUGCAUGUGUUUCCAUCUUUCAACUGUACUCUCUUCAUCUGAUUUAUAUCAUACAUUAAAUGUUAUCACAAGUCAUGAAUUGUUCUCACUUUAUGUUUAUUACUGCAGAUAACUAUUAUCUCUCACAGUCCUGUUGGCUUUAUCUCUAUCUCUGUGCAUUUCAGUGCCUCCUUUAAUUAUUUAAUUUUAAG
rnacentral:lncRNA from 1 species